GCCACUGUGGGUACAUUCCUGAGGGUGACACGCACUUAUCCAUGUUGCCUCAAGCCUGUGGAAAACUAAACAGACACCCUCCGAUCAGUUUGCACAGUUUCAUUAAUUUUCUUCCUACCAUGAAGUGACAACAGAAAGGGUACAUUCGGAGAAAUAAUUGGGAAAUCCCUGACAGCACUGAAAGAGAGAGCUGUAGCUAGAAGGAGCCAGAAAGCCAAGGAACCACUUGACGGCUGCAGCGCUCAUCACCUCGGCAUAUAUAUGAAAAGUAGCUACGUUGAUCACCUGACCUCCCUUGGGCGUUAUUGAGCUUGAUGUCCAUCAGCAGGCUCCCCUUGGCUUCCUGGAGGGUCUCAAGCUUGUGGGUGAGGCUUCCAAUCAACUCCGCCUGGAACGAGAGGGGAGACGCAUAGCAAAACUUAGCCAGCUGACUGGUCCAUCUAUGUUGCUGCAAAUGGCAUUAUUUCGUUCCAGUCUAUGUCUUUUGGUUGGAGCAUCGAAUCCAUUUACAUUUAAGGUAAUUAUCAACAUGUAUGUUCUUAUUGCCCUUUUGUUAAUUGUUUUGGAUUUGUUUUUGAAGAUCUUUUUUCUUCCCUUCCUCUUUUGUUCUCUUGUGAUUUGAUAUCUAUCUUUAGUGUUGUGUUUGGAUUGCUUUUCUUUUCUGUGUGUGUAUCUACUGUAGAUUUUUGGUUUGUGGUUCCCAUGAGGCUUUGAUAUGGCAGUCUAUAUAUGUGCAAGACUGUUUUAAGUUGCUGGUCUUUUAAUUUGAAAUGCAUUUCCGAUAUCCUGCAUUUGUACUCUCCUCACGAUUGCUGGUUUUGAUAUCAUAUUUGUGUGUGGAUGAUUUCCUACCUUUAUGUUUGCCUUUACAUACCGUGAGCUUUCCCAUUCAUAAUUUUCUUGAUUCUAGUUGUGGCCUUUUCUUUACUGCCUAGAGAAGUUCCUUUAGGAUUUGUGGUAAAGCUGGUUUGGUGGUACUGAAUUCUCUUAGCUUUUGCUUGUCUGUAAAGCUUUUGAUCUCUCCAUCAAAUCUGGAUGAGAGCCUUGCUGGGUAGAGUAUUUUGGGUUGUAGGUUCUUCCCUCUCAUCACUUUAAAUAUAUCAUGCCACUCCCUUCUGGCCUGCAGUUUCUGCUGAAAGAUCAGCAGAUAAUGUUAUGGGGAUUCCCCUGUAUGUUAUUUGUUGCUUUUAGUAUUUUUUCCUUUGUCUUUUUUUGUCAGUUUGAUUAAUAUGUGUCUGAGCAUGUUCUUCUUUGCAUUUAUCUUCUAUGGGACUCUCUGCUCUUCCUGGACUUGAGUGCUUCCUUUCUCAUGUCAGGGAAGUUUUCAGCUAUCAUCUCUUCAAAUAUUUUCUCAGGCCCUUUCUCCCUUCUCCUUCUGGGACCCAAAUAAUGCAAAUGUUGGUUUGUUUAAUGUUGUCCCAGACGUCUCUGAGGCUGUCCUCAUUUCUUUUCAUUUUUUCUUUAUUCUCUUCAGCCGCAGUGAUUUCCACCAUUCUGUUUUUCAGCACGCUUAUUCAUUCUUUUGCCUCAAUUAUUCUGCUAUUGAUUCCAUUUGGUGUAUUCUUCAUUCCAGUUAUUGUAUUGUUCGUCUCUGUUUCUUUGUUCUUUAAAUCUUCUAGCUCUUUGUUAAACAUCUCUUGUCUCAUCUUGAUCUGUGCCUCCACUCUUUUUCUGAAAUUUUGAAUCAUCUUUGAUAUCAUUACUCUGAAUUCUUUUUCAGGUAGGUUGCCUAUCUCCACUUCAUUUAGUUGUUCCUGUGGGUUUUUUUUUAUCUUGUUCCCUUGUCUGGAACAUAGUUCUCUGCCAUCUCAUUUUGCCUAAUUUUCUGUUAUCUGUGGUCUCCUUCCCACUGGCUGCAGGAUCAUAACUCCUCUUGCUUCUGGUGUCUGCCGUCUGGUGGAUGAGGUUGGUCCUGGGGCUUGUGCAGGCUUCCUGGUGGGAGGGACUGGUGCCUGCCCACUGGUGGGGGGAGCUGGGUCUUGUUCCCCUGGCGGUCAGGGCCAUGUCAAGGGGUGUUUAGAGGUGGCUGUGAGCUCACUACACAUUUAGGCAGCCUAUCUGCUGGGGGAUGGGGCUGUGUUCCUUUCCUGCUGCUUGUUUGGCCUGAGGUGUUCCAGCACUGGAGGCUGUAGACUGUUGGGUAGCACCAGGUCUUGAUGCCAAAAUGGCGACCUCCCAGAGAGCUCAGGCCGAUCAUUAUUCUCUUGGACCUCUGCCACCAGUGUCCUUGCUGCCCGCAGUGAGCCACAGCUGACCCCUGCCGCCCAGGAGACCCUCUAAGAUUCGUAGGUAGAUCCAGCCCAGGCUCCUGUGGAGUUACUGCUUUGUUUUGUGUCCCAGUGUACGUGAAACCUUAUGUGCACCCUCCAAGUGUGGAGUCUCUGUUUCCCCCAGUCUUGUGGAGCUCCUGCACAUGAGCCUGCUGGCCUUCAAAGCCAAAUGCUCUGGGGGUUCCUCCUCCCGAUACCAGGCCCUCAGGCCGGGGAGCCUGACGUGGGGCUCAGGACUCUCACUCUUACGGGAGAACCUCUGCGAUAUAAUUAUUUUCCAGUUCGUGGGUCCCCCACACAGUGGGUACAGGAUUUGAUUAUGUCGCGAAAGCGCCCCUCCUACCAUGUUGUUGUGGCUUCUUCUUUGUCUUUGAACGUAAAGUAUCUUUUUUUGUAGGUGCCAGUCUUCUUCGCCGAUGGUUGUUCAGCAGUUGGUUGUGAUUUUGGUGUUUCCGUGAGAGGAGGUGAGCUCAUCCUUCUACUCUGCCAUCUUUUUCAGAAAUGAGGAGCUGCUUUUAGUUUGGAUGCUUGCUGUCUCUUUCCUCAGCAUGCGCUGGCCGUUACCCCCUUGACACGAGGUGCGCAGGUGCAGUGGUCCUUGUGCGCUCCCAGGACGGCAGGGUCAGCGCUUGGCACCUGCCCUGUUUUGGUUUUCAAAGACAUCAACAGUGGCAGAAGAACCAGAAGCCUGUCUGUACAGGAGCUGAUGUGUACUCUGGGCUUCAGGGGACAAGGAAAGGACAGAAUAAGAUGAAAAUGUCUAGGGGUGAUACAGGGAGGUUGCUGUGGGAAGGACCAGUAUACAUUUCGCGGCAUUCUGACUUCUGAAAGCUUGUUGGCUGGGCUGUAAACGUCAUACAUCACGGCUCGGCGUAUCUGCUAAUACCAGUAUUACUGAGCAGUCACACCAGUCCCUCCUGGCUCAAAGCUUGUACGUUUGGAUAGUAUUUGAAUUUUUCACAUUUACCAAGCCCUUAAAAUAUGGAGAUUUGGAUUUUAAAAUGUAGUUAAGAGGGAUGUGAGUAACUGAAGGCAGCAAGGGAAAGUUCGCUGUGUUAAACAGCCAUUUCUAUGUCAGGCAGAUCUCUUAAAAAAAAAAAAAACACGAAAAAACUACCAACUUACACCCAUAGAAUUCAAUGGGGAGAGAGAAGAGGUGUUUCGAUUUAAAAAAAUAACUAACUUAUUAGUCUCUCAGGAGCUAAUUAAUUUGCAAAAUCAUUGCCAUGUAUCCACUUCUUAUCUGGCAGAAACUGUUAACUCACCCUACGUGAGCUGCUACUUAUAAGGGUUCUCUCUGUAAACAUGGCUUAACAGAUCCUCCCUCGCACCCCACCAUCUGCAUGCAGAAAUCUUGCUGGGUCCUGUCCCACCUCCUCCCUGCUCCAGCACCAGCUCCAACGAACACUGGACCAGGAGUCAGGAGACCCAGCUGACAGAAAGCUCACCGUCAGGCCAGUCCCCUGACCUUUUGUGUCUGUUUUCUCAUCCACUGCAAGGGCAUCCUAAUGCCUGCCUAAAACUAAUAAUAAUGUUUAGUUACAGCGCUCUCUGUCUGUGCCAGGCACUAUUUAGGUGUUUUCCUGUUCACUUACUGCUCACAACAACCCGAUGAGACGGGUACCGUUACUAUCCCCCUUUUGCGGAUGAGGAAAGGGAAGCGGAUGGAGGUUCUGUCACUUGCCCAAGCCCAGGCAGCUAGAAAGCGGCAGCACCGGGCUUUAAAUCCAGGUCCUCCAGCUGCAGGGUUCAGGCUUCUGAUCACUACAUUAAAACGGCUCAGAGGAGUGUUGUGAGGCUCAGCUAAGAUAAAGCGUGUGCGAGCACUCUGGAAAUUACAAAAGUAUUAUACACAUCCAAGUUGUUAUUAAGAUGAGGCAACACCUGGAAGAACGCACACCAGUCAUUUGGGUAGAUGCCCCAGGGGAACAUACCCAACCCGCCCCCCCCCACCCCCAACACUGCUUUGUCUUCUGGGAGGACUUGUGCUCACAGGGUUGCCAGUAACAUCACUACACGCACAGCUGGCCUCGACUGAUGGCCUGUCUUGAUCUCAACAGAGUAAUUCAGGACCCUUAGCCGCGUGGCUAGAGUUUGGGGCCAGAGUGGAGUUCAGGCUCCGCUGGUAAAAACUGGGACUAGAUAAAGACAUUGAGUGUGAGGACCCAGGCAGCAGCAUGUGACUGUUUUCUUUAGCUGCAUUUCACCCCAUAGAGAAGUCAGGGGCAGUUUCUGUCCUGAGAAAACCUGCAUCCCACGUUGUGGGACCUAUCAAAGCAGAAAGGUUGCGGGGGCCUGACUGCCACUUCAGAUAUUCUCUAGCACAUUCUCUGUCAGGAGUGGUUCUCAUUUCCUCUCGGGAAGGCUUGUGACCAGAGAGUUGUUCAGUCUCUUGGUUCUGGGCGACAGGAAUCUCUGACAUACAAGAAACGUUAUUAAAUUUCUUUAAAUUCGACAAAACAUCCUCCUCCCUCCCCGAACGACCUCCUUGUUUUUCCUAUGUCUGUUACCACAGUCACCGAGGCCAGGAACUCGGGAGCCAGCCCUCCUCCUUCCUCUCUCCCAUGCUCCGUGUCCAAUCUGCUACCGGAUUCUGUCUCUUUCGCUUCCUUUAAAAAAAAAACCUAAAUCCAUCUGUUUCUCACUGCUCCUACCGCAGCUCCCUUAGGCCCGCCUCGUUGCUUCCAGGCCCAGGCGGCUGUAACUCCCUCCCCACUACCCCCCCCCCCCCCCCCCCCCCGUCUUGCUGCAUGCACAGCUUCCCUAAAUGUAAAUCCGCCGCAUCUCCCUCCCCGCUGGUAAACCCCCGGGAGAGGGACUGAUGGUGGCCAGAUGGCGGGAGCCCACGCCAGCCUCUCUCCCCUCCCUCCUACAGCGAACACCCCUGGACCCUGAAGAGGGCUCUGCAAGGUUAGCUGUGGCAGUGCGCCGGGGAGGGGAGCCACGCCUGAAGUACGACCCAGAACAGGGGUGAGUUUCCUGCUUCUCCCCCUUUCAUGUUCUGGUUCUGCCCUGGAAAUAGCCUCAAUGCUGAACUGCACAGAGGGUGUGGCAGCAAAAAUGCUGCUUUCGGUGAGGUAAAGCAGGUGGGGGAAUCCUGUUUCUUCCUCUUCCCUCUCUCCUUUUUUUCCCCCCCUUUCCCAGCCCUGCCCCCCAAAGUGACUCUCCUUGCAGAGUGCACGGUGCAGUGGUGGCACAGGCACUUAACACCCCAAGAGAACACCCUUCUUUCUGUCCAGAGGAACGGGGACAACGACCCCAUGGACCGAAGAGUGUGAGGGGAAUCCGCACUAUUUUUCUCUACUGAGGAUAGUCCCAGCUAUGCAGAAUGGCGCGGCCGUGCAGGCUGCCGUGACACCACAAGAACUUGUCCUAUUUCUAGCCAGAGGCCCAGGUCCGGGCUCACCCUCAAGCUGCACGUGUGUGGGACAGACCCAAAGAAGCACGGCAACGGCUUUGAGAACUGAACUGUGACAGAACAACUCACCCAAGUCCCAGGCUCAGCCCUGAAAGGUGCCUGUGUAGGACAGUCACAUAUAAGGCAGCAGAGGCUCUGAAAACUGAACUGACACUGGAACCAACAGCCAGAGGUGGGACAGAACUUGUAGCCUGAACCUAACUAGGCUGCCUGCUAAAACAAAACAAAAAAUCAACCUUCUUCAGAGGAUUUUUCACAGAACCCAAGACUUACACCAUAACACUCAAAAUGUUCAGGUACAAUAUUACCCAGCAUGAAGAGAACCAGUAAAAUGUGAACAGCUCUCAGGGGAAGACAACCAACAGGUGCUAACCCUGAGAUAACCCAAACGGGACGAUAAAAGCCUUUAAAAUAGCUUUUGUAGCUAUGCUCCAUGGUGGAAGUAAACACUCUUGAAAUGAACAGACAGACACUAAAAAAAAAUGAAUGGAAAUUUUAGAACUGGAAACUAUAAUAUCUGAAAAUUUAAAAAAAAUCACUGGCAGAAUAGAGACAGGAAAGUCAGUGAAACUGAAGACAGAUCAAUAGAAAUUAUCCAAUCUGAAUGAACUGACAGAAAACAUUAAAAAACAUGAACAGGACUUCCCUGGUGGUGCAGUGGUUAAGAAUCCACCUGCCAAUGCAGGGGACACGGGUUCGAGCCCUGGUCCAGGAAGAUCCCACAUGCUGCAGAGCAACUAAGCCCUUGCGCCACAACUACUGAGCCCGAGCACCCUAGAGCCCACAUGCCACAACUACUGAAGACUGCGCACCCUAGGGCCUGCGAGCCACAACUACUGAAGCCCGCGUGCCUAGAGCCCGUGCUCCGCAACAAGAGGAGCCACCGCAGUGAGAAGCCCGCACACCGCAAUGAAGAGUAGCCCCCGCUCGCCACAACUAGAGAAAGCCCGCGUGCAACAACAAAGACCCAAUGCAGCCAAAAUAAAUAAAUCAAAAAUAAAAAGCCCUAAAAAAAAAUGAGCAAAGUUUCAGAGAUUUGUAGGACAAUAUCAAAAGGUCUAACAUUUGUGUCACUGGAGUCCCAAAAGGAGAGAAAGAGAUUAGCACAUAAAAAAAUAUUUGAAGACAUACUGGCUAAAAACAUCCUGAAUUUAGUGAAAGACAUAAGUUUACAGAAUCAAGAAGCUUAGUAAACCCCAACAGGAUAAAUCAAAGUUAGGCCCAUACAUAUCAUAACCAAACUGCUGAAAAUCAAAGAUAAAAAAUUUGAAAGCAGCCAGAGAAAAGCAACACAUUGCAUGUAGGAGAAACAAAUAUUCAACGGCUGUGCGUUUCUCAUCAGAAACCCUGGAAGCAAGAAGAAAUGGGACAUUUUUAAACUGCUAAAAGAAAAAGAAUAGUCAACCCAGAAUUCCAUAUCUAGUAAAAAUUCUUUAGAAAUGACAACAGAAUACAGACAUUCUUAGAUGAAGGAAAACUUAAAGAAUUUGUCACCAGCAGACAAAUGCUUCAAAAAAGAAAUGCUAAAGGAAGUUUUUCAGGCUGAAAAGCAGACAGACCAGAGGAAAACUUGAAACUUUAAGAAUAAAGCAGGAGCGACGGAAAUAGGCAGCUGAGAACCAUGUGGCUCACUAAUGAUCUCUUGGGGAAAGCCAGUUCUGAGGAAUAACAGAUUUUUUUGCCUUUUGAAAUAUUCCACUAAGUCUCUAAGCCAAAGCCUUUUGGCCUUCAGAAUAGAGAAUCAUGAGAUCUGGUUAAGCAGAUUUUUGCCCAAUAGAUAUGGCAGGGUUUAGCCAAAGAAUUGAAAGCCCUAAGUAUUAAACAGUCUUUAGAUUUUAUGUAUGUCAGAAGUUCAGAGAGUGAUUGUUUUAUAUUUUAAGUAAUACUUAUAUUUACUUGGAAUAUUACAAUUCAUCAUCUAGGACAUAUAAAUAAAAAGUAUAUUAAAGUAAAACUGAUUGGAAAUGCUAGUUUCAAAAUAUUAAUAAAUCAGGAUUCUAGUUUCCAUUCACUCUUAGUUUCACGCGUAGAAAUACAUCUUAGGUUUACUAACUUUAAACAUUAGGCAACAAAUUAUUACUUUGCAGAAGUUGGUAGAAGGCUACACUCUGCCUUAGAACCAUCCUGACCAAGCAUCUUUUUUUUUUUUUUUUUUUUUUUUUUUUUUUUUUUUUUUGCGGUACGCGGGCCUCUCACUGUUGUGGCCUCUCCCGUUGCGGAGCACAGGCUCUGGACGCGCAGGCUCAGCGGCCAUGGCUCACGGGCCCAGCCGCUCCGCGGCAUGUGGGAUCCCCCCGGACCGGGGCACGAACCCGUGUCCCCUGCAUCGGCAGGCGGACUCUCAACCACUGUGCCACCAGGGAAGCCCCAAGCAUCAUGUUUUAAAACCAUCCUUAGGGAAAAUAAAAGCUUGUUAGAGAACUAACAAGCUUUAGGGAAGAGAACUGCAUUUGGGAAGAGAACUGCAUUUUCAACUUCACACUGAAUAUAUUAAUAGAUGCCUUCAACAACAUCAAUUAAAGCCUGCAUAUUUUCUCUCUUUCCAGAUCAGAUAUGUAAAUGCAAGUGACACACAAAUUCUAUUACACGUUAAUAAACCUGUAGUUGCUUAAAACAAAAAGUCUCAUAGGGUUCUCCACUACCACACGGUAAAAUCCAAACUCUUUGGCAUUUCAGACAAAGCCCCACGUGACCUCCAUGACCUGCCCCCGUGGAUCCCCCCAGCCUUGUCUCCUGCCAUUCAUGGCCUUUCUUUGUUAUUCUCUAAAUUUGGUAAUUUCUAAUUUAAUCAUGAGAAUUUAUUUUAUAAUACAUUCCCAAAUAUCAGA